AGUGAACGCUGGCGGUAGGCCUAACACAUGCAAGUCGAACGGCAGCACAGUAAGAGCUUGCUCUUACGGGUGGCGAGUGGCGGACGGGUGAGGAAUACAUCGGAAUCUACUUUUUCGUGGGGGAUAACGUAGGGAAACUUACGCUAAUACCGCAUACGACCUACGGGUUAAAGCAGGGGAUCUUCGGACCUUGCGCGAUUGAAUGAGCCGAUGUCGGAUUAGCUAGUUGGCGGGGUAAAGGCCCACCAAGGCGACGAUCCGUAGCUGGUCUGAGAGGAUGAUCAGGCACACUGGAGCUGAGACACGGUCCAGACUCCUACGGGAGGCAGCAGUGGGGAAUAUUGGACAAAGGGCGCAAGCCUGAUCCAGCCAUACCGCGUGGGUGAAGAAGGCCUUCGGGUUGUAAAGCCCUGUUGUUGGGAAAGAAAAGCAGCAGGUUAAUACCCCGCUGUUCUGACGGUACCCAAAGAAUAAGCACCGGCUAACUUCGUG
rnacentral:rRNA from 1 species